rnacentral:tRNA from 1 species
CAGGAAAUAGUUUAAUAAGAAUAUCAGUUUUGGGUGCUGAUGGUGUGGCUAUGUGCUUCUUUCUUGA